GAUGAACGCUAGCGAUAGGCUUAACACAUGCAAGUCGAGGGGCAGCAUGGUCUUAGCUUGCUAAGACUGAUGGCGACCGGCGCACGGGUGCGUAACGCGUAUGCAACUUGCCUCACAGAGGGGGAUAACCCGUCGAAAGACGGACUAAUACCGCGUACACUCCAUCUUGGGCAUCCAAGGUAGAGGAAAUGAAAUUCGCUGUGAGAUAGGCAUGCGUCACAUUAGCUAGUUGGUGAGGUAACGGCUCACCAAGGCGACGAUGGGUAGGGGAGCUGAGAGGUUGAACCCCCACACUGGUACUGAGACACAGACCAGAAUCCUACGGGAGGCAGCAGUGAGGAAGAUUAGUCAAUGGGCGAGAGCCUGAACCAGCCAAGUCGCGUGAAGGAUGACUGUCUUAUGGAUUGUAAACUUCUUUUAUACGGGAAUAACAAGAGUCACGUGUGACUCCCUGCAUGUACCGUAUGAAUAAGCAUCGGCUAACUCCGUG
rnacentral:rRNA from 1 species